CUCAGUCAUAGGUUCCCAAGCGUCAGCUCGUAGGGGAAUGGGAGGAGGCUGGGAGCUUUAAAUUGCCAAGUGUGACCAGAAAUCUAGGGAAGCCACUAAAGAAGUCAUGAGGAAACUGGCCAAGAUGUGGCCUGACUGAAGGCAGCGAGUGGUGAAACCACUACAGCUCAGACUGCCCAUGAACCUGUGUCAGUCAGGGGAGGGCAGAGGGCCAGACAGGGAGCAGGGAGGAAGCCAGGCCUUUUGCUGAGCUGAAUACAUCACCUGUGACCAGAGCCUGUGGACAGUUUAGCAAGUAGCCUCCCACUGUGCGUCUGUGCCUGGUGGGGCCAGGGAAGCUGUGAUGCAAAGCAGGAGAGACGACAGAACAGAGGAUCAGGUCUGUGGAAUGGACACAGGGCAUUAAAGUCAAACAACAGACACGAAGUACAACCGCAACGUGAUGGUGUUAGAUCUUCGAUGCAGACUCUGCAGACUCUGGUACAACCACGUGAUGGUGUUAGAUCUUCGAUGCAGACUCUGGAAACUGGCUUUGCGAACGUAAGCUCAAGACUCACCUCUGGCCAAAUCCAAGAAGCUGGCAAGUGGAAGAGGCAGGCAGGGAGGAGCUGUGAGUGUGCUGUGUUCUGAUCCCAGUAGGAAG
rnacentral:lncRNA from 1 species